UCCGGUAUGGUGUAUCGGCUAGCAUCCGUCGCUUUCAUUUCUAAUGUCAGCGCCCGACGAGAGCCGGGUUCGACUCCCGGUACCGGAA